rnacentral:tRNA from 1 species
AGCCCUAUCGUCUAGUGGUCAAGGAUAGCGCCCUCUGAAGGCGCGGACGGGUGUUCAAAUCACCCUGGGGCUA